rnacentral:rRNA from 1 species
AAAACGACUCUCGGCAACGGAUAUCCCGGCUCUCGCAUCGAUGAAGAACGUAGCGAAAUGCGAUACUUGGUGUGAAUUGCAGAAUCCCGUGAACCAUCGAGUCUUUGAACGCAAGUUGCGCCCGAAGCCAUUAGGCUGAGGGCACGUCUGCCUGGGUGUCACGC